AUAGAACAAGUAAUUUCUAAAAGACGGAGAACUCAAACUGCUUCGAUCAAUAUGUUUAACUCAAACUAGUGAAUAUAUUCAACAUCAUCUCAACUAAUUGAGCUCUUCAACAUCUCUACCAACAUUUCAGGAGGAGAAAGUUUUAUGUUUCUUCCCUCGGGGUUCUAUGAUCUCUUCAACAUCAUCUCAAGGAAUUUACUAUAAAUAUUACCGAGUGUGAAGCGCCCAAUGGUGUUUGCUUAAAAAAUGCACCUUUCCAUUGUUCUCAGUACACAUUCAUCGUGUUGUUUAGUAACCAAUGCACGGGAACAGUAUUCAGAUAAUAAGAUGAAGAUAAUCAAACAUUCCAGAUUUGGCUAAGUCAUGAUGAUGUCAGAUUUGAUGCACUCGUGAAUUUGCGGAAGAACCACAUGUGAAAUCUGGAUGGUCAACUGAGGCCACAAACAACUCAGCAUUCGGAGCCUCUAAUUCGAGAAUAACCACGAGAUUUUUUCCUUCUUGCAGGAUUGGAGCAGGAACAUAAAGGUUGCACUGGGGUCCAAAGGACGGCCAAAACCUUCCUAAAUUAAAUCCAUUGAUAAAUACAACCCCUUUACUCCAGCCACGAAAAGACAAAAAAGUGUCUUUUACUUCAUCAACUGUAAGAUGACCAAUGUAGAAAGCUGGCACUGGAUGAUAAUUUCUUUUGUUUUUAAGUUUUAUCUGCACAGAUUCUCUAAGGUCGGUGUAUGCAUCUGAAAUAACAGAAUUAUUCUUUUGAUCCUCAUUUAGGUUGUGAAAAGGAAUCGGCAACAUUUUCCACUUCUGCAACGGUUUACCAUCUAAAUAAACAGGAGAGAGUAUACCCUUCUUGUCAAAAAUGUAUUUCCCAUAAUUUAUACGCCCCAUAUUUUCCACCAGUAUAUAAAUUCUGUUAUCCGAAGUACAUUGAGUAUGAGGAAGCCUGAUGGAAGUAUUUGACCAUCUAGCUACAGUGCCUACAUAUUCUGGAUUUUCGUCAUAGUUGUCUGAAGGGCAUGAAAUGAAUACUUGCGCCCUGUCAUGCACCUUUGGUAUGAAUAACAAACCUCCAUUAGCUUUUGCUUUGUAAUCAGAAACAUAAAGCAUGAAGCCAAACAUCUGGUCCAAAGACUCCAUUGCAAGUGGGUUUUCAGAUUCAGUGACACCAUCAAAGUAUGUGGUAUCAACUAUGUUAAACAAUGAUUUAGUCUUCUGCAACUUAAUAAGUCCAUAUGCUUUCUUUUCAGUAUUGGAAGGAACUGAAGGAAGAGGAACUGCAGUAUAUUUAGCAAUCACCCUUCGAA
rnacentral:misc_RNA from 1 species